AUUGAACGCUGGCGGCAGGCCUAACACAUGCAAGUCGAGCGGAUGAAGGGGGCUUGCUCCUGGAUUCAGCGGCGGACGGGUGAGUAAUGCCUAGGAAUCUGCCUGGUAGUGGGGGAUAACGUCCCGAAACGGGCGCUAAUACAGCAUACGUCCUGAGGUAGAAAGUGGGGGAUCUUCGGACCUCACGCCAUCAGAUGAGCCUAGGUCGGAUUAGCUAGUUGGUGGGGUAAAGGCCUACCAAGGAGACGAUCCGUAACUGGUCUGAUAGGAUGAUCAGUCACACUGGAACUGAGACACGGUCCAGACUCCUACGGGAGGCAGCAGUGGGGAAUAUUGGACAAUGGGCGAAAGCCUGAUCCAGCCAUGCCGCGUGUGUGAAGAAGGUCUUCGGAUUGUAAAGCACUUUAAGUUGGGAGGAAGGGCAGUAAGUUAAUACCUUGCUGUUUUGACGUUACCAACAGAAUAAGCACCGGCUAACUUCGUG
rnacentral:rRNA from 1 species